rnacentral:rRNA from 1 species
UACGUAGGGUGCGAGCGUUGUCCGGAAUUAUUGGGCGUAAAGGGCUCGUAGGCGGUUUGUCGCGUCGGGAGUGAAAACGCCGUGCUUAACACGGCGCUUGCUUUCGAUACGGGCAGACUAGAGGUAUGCAGGGGAGAACGGAAUUCCUGGUGUAGCGGUGUAAUGCGUAGAUAUCAGGAGGAACACCGGUGGCGAAGGCGGUUCUCUGGGCUUUACCUGACGCUGAGGAGCGAAAGUGUGGGGAGCGGUCAGG